rnacentral:lncRNA from 1 species
AGUUACCAUAACCACUACCGUAGGUCAUCUUAUGGUAUUGGUUAUGGGUCGACCUAUGGUAGCAGUUAUUCGUAACUACUGCGAUAGGUUUAUCCUACCGCAGCGGUUGGAAAUAAUUGCUGCCACAGAUUUGACCUACGGUAACAGUUCUGAUAAUUGCUAUGGUAGGUCAUAUCUACUGCAAUGGUUAUGAAUAAUCAUUAUCGUAGGGUAAAUCUAUCACUGUAGUUAUGAUAACUAUUGCUGUAGGUUACCUACCACAGCAGUUAUGAAUAAUCGUUGUCAUAGGUGAAAAUUUUGACAAUCCAUAACUUUUGAUCCAGAGGUUGGACUUACGUGA